ACCUGGGAGCCAGAGAAAGGAAAGUAUAAUUAAAUAAGCUCUCCGCAUAGUACACCAAUAUGAAGAUGCCCUUUGUGAAUUUGAGUCAGUGACCUUACACUGGCUUGGCAUUCUUUCUUAUGGGCUGGUUUCUAGUUUACUGGCUGAUUGCUCCUUGAAACUCUGAUAAACUUGAGAGUGUGACUAGAGGCCACAGAGAGGAAGGCUUUCCUGUGUUAAGAUAUUAAGAACUCUUUUCUGUGAGUCUACUCCCACUAUCCCCUACUUGACAGACAGAAGGUAAGAGGAAAAACCCCAAACCAAAAAAAAAAAAAUCAACCCAAAAUGCAAGCCAAUACCACUCUUCCUCUGAAUGGCUGGUCACUGAUCCUUGGAACUGUUGACAAAUUACAACUAGAGAGAAAUUAUUUCUGACAAUGAGAAUUGGAAGAAGAUUGGUUAUUUCCUGGCACAAGGGAGGAAACAAUUUGAUUGAUUUCCAGGGAGUCUCCUCUCAAAAUUGUUUGGGAAGAAAGCAAAGCUCAUAAAAUAACUUUAAGAACAUUUGGUGAAAUCUACGACCUAACCAAAAGGUUUCCGGGUCUCUCCUUCUGAAUUGCCACCUAGGAACCUAGUUUUAGAGGUAUCCUCAUUUGUAUUGGUGCAUGUUAUGAAUAACUCAAAUUGACCGUAUUUGAAUGUUCAACUGCUUGUUGAAGGGACAGAAAUCCCUAACUGAAGUACCUGAAGUAUUCAUCACAAAAAGAUUAAUGCUGCCCUUUUGUGACAGUUUAGACACUGGAGAAUCUCUGACCUGGAUGGGAAUCUGGGAAAUCCUGAGCCCCAGGCUGCCAUGCACAGCAUUGAAGCUAUCAUUUACAGACAUCAUUGCCUCUAUUGCAGUUGGUGUCUGGCCAGCUAAGGACAGUCUCCUCUGUGAAGCAGAGAAUGUAACAGUGCUUUUGAAGUCUGGCAGCUCACUAAAGUGGACUGGAAAAGUUAACAGUACAGGAUGACACUGAUGCCUGAGUCUCAAGCAGUUAAAUCAGAACCCACGAGUUCUGCACUACUGAAGGAGUUUAAAAUACUGCAGAAAAUUCUGAGGUUCUCUCUCUGGUCUGAUGCUUCCUAAACAGGCCAGGCUGGUUGGCCAGUGUCCUUUGGGGAUCCACACUUCUCUGUCUGCUCAGAAUUAGGUUUGUAAGUAUAUACUGGUACAACUGACUUUUACAUUGUUUCUGGAUAUAUACACUUGAGGCCUCAUGCUUCAUGGUAAGUACUUUAUUGACUUCACCAUCUCCAAAGCUCAAAUUUGUUCUUUUUUAUUAAUCAAGAUGUUAUAGACAGCAUCACAGCACUUAUAUGGAACAUCAUUGUGUCUUAUGCAGUGCAGAUGGCAUCUAGACAGCCUCCUACAAUCCUUUCUUCAUGUGCUUCAAUUAUCAACAUGGAAAGUGUUGAAAAAAUGAGUGGAAACAUCUAUUCUAGCAGCACUGCACACUUAGCCCAUUAAGUCAAGUUUGAUAAUACUCUUUUAGUCCUCAAAUGGCAACAAAGAAGUAUUUUGCUUAUUACAACACCCUGCAUUGAAUGGUUUCUGUCCUUAUUAAGCCCAGGAGUUCUCUCCUCCAUGAUAUUGUCCUACCCCUGGGUUUUUAAAAACAUAUUCUCUUCUAAUAGAAGUGUGCAUAGAGUCUUGGGAAUUUUUUCAAGGAUCUUAACUCUCUAAUAAAAUCUUCACAUUAACCAGCUUGCUUCUGUGCAAUAUACCUAGUUAGCUAAUAAUAUGCAACACUGGUAUAUUAAACCGCAUUUAAAGAUCACUCAUUCAGAGCAAUGCCCUAAUAAUAUUUUUUACUGUGAAAAGGAUUAGCAGUGGAUGGUUGACAGGGUAGAUGAAUAGGUAUUUAGCUUUUCUUAGUAUAAAACAUGAAAGCAAGAGCCAAUGUUCUGCUGGGAGAGUUACUUGAGAGUACCUGUUGUGUAUGCAUUACAGGACAUAGAAGGUAUGAUGUGGUUGGAUCACAGCCUCAAGGCCAGUUCUAUUCAUUGUACUUUAUUUUAUUAUUUUUAAAAGAUUUAUCUAUUUUAUUUUAUGAGUAUUUUGUCUGCAUAUAUGCAUGUGCAUACACACAUACAAUUCCUCAAGAGGCCAGAAGAGGGUCAUUGGAUCUUCUAGGAUUUGGAGUUACAGACAGAGAGCUGUGGGCUGCCCUGUGAGUGCUGAAAACAGAAGCAGCUUCUUCUGGAAGAUCAACCGUAAAAUUAACUGCCGAGCCAUCUAUCUUAUAAAGCUACUUUGAAACUGGUAUGUUCUCAAACUGUCUGGGUGGAAGAGUUUCUUGUUUUAGACACUGGGGAAGGACCAGAGUUGACUUAUGUUUCCAUACCACAAAACCGUAGGCUGGGGUGAUUUAAGGAACAAAAACUUGCUUUCUAAUAGUCUGAGGCUGGACGUACCAGACGAAGGUGGCGGCAUGUUUGCUUCUGACAAUGCCUUUCUCUCCUGGCUUGUGGGUUGUAUAUUUUCAGUGUGAUGUCAGAGAGUAUGAGGUGUGGUUCAGUGUGAUGUCAGAGAGUGCGGGGUUCCACAGUCUACCCCGCCACUAGGGUGUAGGAACUUCUUUCAUCAGACAAAAUGGGAGAUGCUGCUCCACUGCAUUUACCCUAUGCCUGCCGUUGGGUGAUGGGCUCAUAGGAAGCCCUGAAGCCCUGCUCAGCGGGGAGGAGGAUGCAGCCUUGGGAGGGGGCCCCAGCCUGAGUGAAAAACAGCAUAGGUUAAGACCAAAGCUGGGGUUCCCAAGUGCCAAGCUCCUGAGUACUCAGUUGCCACUGAAAACCACAUGAGAUUGGGAAUGAAGGGGGCCUGAGGGCCUGCAAAGAGGCUGGGGCUGAGGGUUCUCAGACUCCUGGACAUCCAGAUGCCACUGGAAGUCAUAGAGGAGACAAGAACAGAGGAGGCCCAUAGGCUGAGGAUGAACCUGGGACCUGGUGAUUGGGGAACACCAGAUUAGCUCAUCUAUGAUUGUCUGGGAUCAUGGAGGGGCCUUUUGCUGGAGACUAAGAUGGUGUGGCCUUGAAGAUGAUGAAAGAGACAGUCAGUGUUUAUCCAUAUUGUUUAUAGACUGUUCAUCAUGGAAUAUGAGUACAUACUACCUCCUCAGGUUGGACCCGAGAUUAAAAAUACUUUUUACUGGAAGAAGUGUCUGGGAAGGGAAGCUUAUUGGCUAAACUCCCAGGCCUCUAGACACCUCAUCAACAUGGAGAACUUUGUUCUAAUCUAGGUGAUGAUAGGUAGUGUGGUCAUGUGACAGAGGCCGGGUCAAAAGCAGGUGAGGCUCCUACCAUCCUCUCAGAGGUUCCUGGGCUUCCAAACCAAUCAACUUUACCAAGGUUCCUGGCACGGUCCAUUGUCCCAUAGAGAGGAUGUUCUGAUUUUGCUUCCUUUCAGGACAUUAAUUCUAUUUUAACAAAGUUCCUCUCUUAUGACUUCACUUAACCUUAAUUACUUCUUUUGUAUCAUCUACAAAUACAGGCACAGUGAAGAUUAAGGCUUUAAAGUAUAGAUUCUGAGGAGACAAAUAUUUACAUUAUAGUAGUGGAAAUUCUUUCUUCUUUCUUUCUUUUUUUUUUUCUCUUGGAGCUGAGGACCGAACUCAGGGCCUUGUGUUUGCUAGGCAAGUGCUCUACCACUGAGCUAAAUCCCCAACCCCAGAAAUUCUUGCAUUAAGAGAUGAACAUGAUUCUCUUUGCUCUUCUCUUCUCUGCUCUCAUGCUCUUUGUCUCUGUCCCUUCUCUCCCUAUUCCCCUCCUCACUUCCCUCCAUGUGCCCAUGGCCAGCCUCCUUGCUUCUCCCCUCUUCUACUCUUCUUCUCUCAUUAAACCUCUCCAUGUUGGAAAACAAAAACAAAACAAAACAAAAAAAAACCAAAGAGAUAAACAUGAACAGAAUUAGCAAAAUGAAUAAGAAGAUCCAGAAUCCUUAGAGAAGGAAGAAGAACAGACAGAAAAUGGGAGCAAAGGAACUUUUGGCUUUGUAGCUAUCAAGAAACUGUGAAUUUGGUCCCAGUUCUAUGGCUAAGUAGGUAUGAAAUUCUAUUUAAAUGUAAUUUAGUUUCCUUGGACACAGAAAGCUUUUCCAAUGUGGGGAGCACAAAGAGUAAGGAGGAACUGUAUGAGUGUAAAAUGUGCAAAGGUUAAGGAGAACCAGGCAAUAAAGCAACAACCAUAUGGGUUGUACUGUGGGCAUCCUGAGCUUUUGGACUAAUAUCCACUUAUCAGUGAGUGCAUGCCAUGUGUCUUCUAUUUGUGCACAGUUAACAGCUACACAAUGAUUUACUAUCUUUUUUUAAUUGGAUUUUUAAAAUUUAGAUUUCAAAUGUUAUCCCCUUUCUCAGUUUCUCUCCCCCUGCUUUUAUGAGAGUCUUCUCCCACCCAACGAACUACUCCUUCCUGCUGCCAUGUCCUGACAUUCCCUUAUACUGGGGGGGGUCCAGCCUUGUCAGGACCAAGGGCUUCUCUUCCCAUUGAUGCCCAACAAGGCCAUCCUCUGCUACAUAUGCAGCUGGAGCCAUGGGUCUGUCCAUGUGUACUCUUUGGAUGCGGUUUUAGUCCCUGGGAGCUCUGGUUGGUUGGUAUUGUUGUUCUUAUGGGGUUGCAAACCCCAUCAGCUCCUUGAAUCCUUUCUCUAACUCCUCCCAUAGAGACCCUGUUCUCAGUUCAAUGGCUGGCUGCAAACAUUUGCCUCUGUAUUUGUCAUGCUCUGGCAGAGCCUUUCAGCAGAUAGCUAUAUCAGGCUCUUGUCAGCUUACACUUCUUGGGUCACAGUUACAGAGUGGCUCAACUAGAUCUCACAGAUUAAGAAUCCAGAUGUUUCUUGGACGUUGUUCCCAUUAGGAAGCUGGGCAAGGGAAGGAUCUGUUUCCAACAUCAUUCUGGUUACAGGUAAGAGUUAGGGCCUUUACAGCUGUGGGGCUCAUAUCUUUGAUUUCUUGGGGGCUGUUAGUAAGCUCUCUAAGGGCUCCUAGAAACUAACUCAGGUAUUAGACAACAUGACAUUUUAAUUCUUCAUGGCUAUCAUGAAAAUCAAUCAGUCACAUCAAUAUUUCUCUCUCUAUCUCUUUUGUCUUUUGUCUCUCUUCUUUUAGAAAGGGAUUUGGUGUAUAUUAAAGGCCUGAUGAAUCUAUGAUGAUUUAUAUAUUUAUCAAAAUUGAUUUAUUUGUAAUUUUAACAAAUGACUGAAAUCUAACCAUACCCACACUCAAUGGAUGGUAUUAGGCAUGCUAACAGGGCAUGUAGAACAGGAGGCAAGAAUCCUAACGGUACCUUAGAUUCUACCUAUCACAGAUGCUUUAUGCAAACCUUAUAGAUAAUCAUUACACAGACCCUCUAAGGCCAGUAGUGUUGAGAUUGUUAGGGCUGAAAUCAUGCACCUGGUAGUUUGAUGAUCUAGUUUGAUGAUCAGAAGUGCUAUAUUCUACUGCUUCCUUUUCUUUACAAUACUGCUUUGUCCCAGCAAGGUUUUUGGGUGAUAAUCAAAUGAUCAUUUGAUUUAUAGUUUAAAUAGUUUUCGAUUUUUUCUCUCCAAAAGUGGACAAUAUCAGAAACAAAAACUUGUCUUUUUAUUAAGUACUUCGAAUUUCCCAAGUGGGGUCGCAUAUGACAUUUCAUUCGACCUUCACAGUAAUAAUAAUAGCUUCAAAGAGAGUAAAGGAUUUGCUCAGAAUGUGCAGUUAAUUGCAGAUGAAGAACACAUUCUUUAUGAACACUGCCAGCUCAACAUCUCUUUUGCAACAGCAAGCCAAGACUAUAAAGACUACAUAAAUAUCCUCAGAGGGACAAAGCGAAAGUGGGUGAACUUGCAUGUGUGUGAGUAUGUGUGAAUCUUAAAUCUGGAAGGAAUUGUCAAGUGGAGGAGGCAUGGUUCCAAGGGAGAUUUUGUGGCUAGUUGUUGGCAGUUAUGUUGAAAAGUGAGAGGGAGACAAAGAACAGCAUGGUGAUGAGUGAAUAAACAGAGAGAUCUCAAGAUGAUAUGGUUUUUGAUGAAACCCACAAAGAGGAAACCAAGGGUCCUAUGUCAAUGUCACGAUUUAUGCAAGGCUUAAGAAGGCUGUGGUUCCAUUGGGAAGAUGAUAGUAGAUUUGAACACUCAUUUUAUCUUUCAUGGGUUUUCCCUUGUCUCAUUCCCAGUGUCUUUUUGUGUUGUCAUAAUAAUGAUACAGUUAAUUUAGCUGUUAUAAGAAUUAAACAGCAUGCAAAUUAGUAUACACAAGCACAACCCAUAGACAGUAUGUACCCUCUUUUUUUAAUUUUUAUUUUUUAUUGGAUAUAUUUCUUUAUUUACAUUUUAAUGUUAUUCCCUUUCCUGGUUUCCUGUCCAUACGGCCCCUAUUCCCUCCCCCUCCCCCAUAAGGGUGUUCCCCACCCUUACCAUCCCUCCUUAUCACCUUCCCCAACAUUCCCCUGCCCUGGGGGUCCAACCUUGGCUUCCCCUUCCACUGGUGCCCAACAAGGUUAUCCUCUGCUACAUAUGCAGUUGGAGCCCAGGGUCAGUCCAUGUAUAGUGUUUGGAUUUAGCGGUUUAGUCCCUGGAAGCUCUGAUUGUUUGGCAUUGUUGUUCUUAUGCACCCUCUUAUUACUAUUAUUUUUGUUCUAAAAAGCUUAUUAAAGGAGAACAAUGACUAUGACUUGAUUUUCUAGAAAAUAUGAUAAAUAUUAUUACUAUUAAUAAGAAAUGUUCUAACUUCCAGUUUCUGACUUCACCUGGAGCUGAACUGCUCCUACAGCUCUCUGUAUCCAAAUCCUUUGGGGAAGAGAGCUGGACUCUCAGAAGUUUGGACAAUUCUGAGGACUCAGAGAAGACAACUACUUCUGCCCACAUUCCUGACCCAAGAGAAACCCACAUAGUGCCUUCUGUGCUCUCUGGGAACACCUAGGAGCAGUCAGGAGCAGGCCCUUUCAGUUUCUGCCUGCAUCAAAAGCUGAAAGUCAGUCACCUAGAAUGCUGACUGGAGGCUUCAGGAGACACAAACCAAGGAGCAGCUCUCUGUUCUCAGAUCCACCUGAGAGAAAACAAGUCUACAGGAGGGCUGACACACAGGCUUAUAGGAGGGUUAUGACAAGCUAACACCAGAAACAACCUGAGGAUGAUAGGCAAUCACAAGAAACUAAGCAACAGAAACCAAGACUACUUUGCAUCAUCAGAGCUCAAUUCUCCCACCAAAGCAAACACUGGAUAUCUAAAACACUGGAAAAGCAAGAUUUGGAUUUAAAAACAUAUUUAAUCAUGAUGAUGGAGGACUUUAAGAAGGACAUAAAUAACUCCCUUAAGGAAAUACAGGACAACACAAGUUAAUAAGUAGAAACCCCUUAAAGAGGAAACACAAAAAUCCCUUAAAGAAUUACAGGAAAACACAACCAAACAGGUAAAGGAAUUGAACAAAACCAUCCAGGAUUUAAAAAUAGAAAGAGAAACAAUAAAGAAAACACAAAGGGAGACAACCUUGGAGAUAGAAAACCUAGGAAAGAGAGCAGGAACCAUAGAUGCAAGCAUCACCAAUAGAAAGAAGAGAUGAGAGAAUCUCAGGGGCAGAAGAUACCAUAGAAAACAUUGACACAACCAUCAAAGAGAAUGUAAAAUGCAAAAAGCUCCUAACCCAAAACAUCCAGGAAAUCUAGGACACAAUGAGAAGAUCAAACCUAAGGAAAA